CACCAGGAGUCCUUUGCCACCACAUGUCCUUCAGCGCUGUCACCAUGAGUCCUUUGCCACCACAUGUCCUUCACUGCUGUCACCAUGAGUCCUUCACCAUCACAACUCCUUCAUCACCACAACUCCUUCACCAGCACAAGUCCUUCACCACCACCACGAAUCCUUCACCACGACAAGCCUUCACCACCACCACAAGUCUUUCAUCACAAAUCCUCCACCACCACCACAAGUCUUUCAUCACAAGUCCUUCACCACUACAAUUCCUUCACACCAGCACAAGUCCUUCACCACCACCCUGAAUUCUUCACCUCUACCACAAGUCCUUUACCACCACCACAAGUCUUUUAUCACCACAGCUCCUUCACUGACACCACAAGACUUUCAUCACCACAAGUCCUUCACUGUCAUCACAAGUUCUUCACUAUCACAACUCCUUCACCACCAGCACAAGUCCUUCACAACCACCACAAGACUUUCAUCACCACAAGUCCUUCACCACUACCAUGAAUUCUUCACCAGCACAAGUCCUUUACCACCACCACAAGUCUUUAUCACCACAACUCCUUCACCACCACCACAAGACUUUCAUCACCACAAAUUCUUCACACCAGCACAAGUCCUUCACCACCACCACGAAUCCUUCACUACCACCACAAGUCUUUCACCACCGCAACUCCUUCACCACCACCUCAACAAGUCCUUCACCAGCACCACCACCUCAGGGCGCCAUGUAUGAGGGGUAGCCUUCACUCCCUUUCCCAGUGGUGGCUGCUCACUCAAACUGGGCCCAUUACACGGUUGUAAAGGGCUGCAUGGUGAAACAGGCUUAGAUGUGGUUUGUAUGUAGCUUGAGGAGGGCAGGGAGGGCUCCGCUGAGAAAAGGGAGGGGGAACAGUCUAGGUGGUUUUGCUUUUCAACAGCUCUUGCUCAAGUUGUUUUAUAUGAUGCUCUCCAGUUCCCCUGGAUCCUUGCUUAGUGCUUAAGAAAAACUGGUCUAGCAAUUAUGCUGGAGGACUGGAUUCAAGCCUGGAUAUUCUUAUUCCUGGCACUGCUCAUGACUAUAGGACAUCCCUUACUAUAAAGUGGUGAAAAUAGGCUUGGUGGAGCAGCCGGAGGUAUUUUUGCAUUUGUAAAGCAUCUGAAGAGACAUGCACAAAGGAUUACAAAUAAGCAUUAUUCUGUUAUUGGGAUGCAUUGAUGUUUUUGAAAUGAGGAUGGCUGUCACCUUCUCAGAGGAGCAAAUCUAGAAACACUCAUGUUGUUAAAUGGGAUGAUCUCUCCUUUUGUCAUUCUAAGGGGAUAUGGAAGCAAUGCUGCUGAGACUACUCUUUUAGGCAGAACAGGACACAAAAAGCAGUGGAAUUGCAAAUGGACCAUCUCCUUUGCCUAUAAUCUCAAAGUAGCAUUCAUUAUUCAUUGAAUUAAUUAUUUUGUAUACUAAAUAAUUAUUUGCAACUUGGUAUGUCUGAUGGAAAAUUUUGGUCCCUUACUGCUUUAUCAUAGGAGAGAGACACAAGGACUACAGUUCCAAAUUUCAUGACUCUAUCAACGCUGUAUUACUUUUCUUCAAGGCCUGAUGCUUGUUUGAAGCAGCAAGAUCACCCAUUUUUAAAGAAAAUGAUCCCCAGGUAUGAAAGGCUCUGAAAAAAAUCUUUGAUCCCAGACAGUACACUGUGGCAAUCAUAUCUCUGACCAACACUUUG